rnacentral:misc_RNA from 1 species
CUGGGUGGCUUCGGCCUAAACCCCCUAACCAUUGUGAGCGAUACCAGUUGCUUAGCUGGUGGCGGUGAACAACCGCCCUGCCGGCGGCACAAAACUCUUCUCAUGUCAUCUCUGAGUUACUUUUAAAUAAGUCA